rnacentral:lncRNA from 1 species
GGAUGUGGUGCUUAUGGCCGGUGGUGGCGUCGCUCGCGGCACCCCCUUCCUGGGCCUGUCUAGCUUCUCCUUCUGCCUGUGGCUCUGUGGCGUUGCCACCCCCGUGGGUGAGGGUGCCCUGCAGCCUCCUUCUCCCCGCUCGAGGCUAAGGCAGGUUCUGUCCUGGGCAGCCCCCAGGGAGCUCCUCUUCCUGGCCCCCCGCUUCCCGCUUCGUGCUGGACAUCCAGCAGCACCUCCCCAGAAGACUUUUGGGACUCCGACAAUUCUGGGGGAAUCCAGUCUUCCCAAGGCCCGGCGGACACUGGGCUCUGCCCCUCGGGAGGCCGGGCCCGGCCACUAGAAGUCCCCAGUGAGCCGCACAUUGCCCGGUCAGGCCAGCAGGGCCCUGGAGCAAUGUCGGAGAGCAAGGCGAGGUGCCAGGGGCCCACCCACCGCCAGCCCCAGGGAAGACGCUAAGCUGACUGCCAUGGCUAGCUGCUGGGGCUGGGAGCUCCAGGGAGCUGACGGUGCCCUUUCCGGCCUCUCCCCUGCCCUGACUUGCAGAGGCCGGAAUCCCGGAGGAUCCCUGUACCGGACCAGAGUCCACACCCCGCAGCCCAGAAGACCUUAAACACCUUGGGGACAACAUCCCGGGAAGUGUGGCUCUUGCCACGGCUCCCCCCAGCCACCUAGCACCAGUGUUCCAUGGCCAUCUUCCCGUGGCACACAGUUCCGGGGAGCUGGUUUCUGGGUUGUCCUCGUGGCACUUCUUGGCGUCAGAGCAAAUUCCCAAGUGCCUGCCUCAAUGCAAGUGCCAAGUAUGUCUGGUCAGUGAACGCCGGACCGUAGAGGCGACUCAGAGGCAGAGAAGCUUCCUUCGGCGGAGCCCUUGUGUUGGAACUCUGCCAGGACACUGCCGCCAUCUUGGCUGCUUGCGUGGACCUUUGGGCCGGGGCUCCGUUGUUGCCUCCAUCUCAGCAUCCUGUGGGCAUCGUGGCUUGUCUCCAGCCCUCCCCCGUUCUCGGUACCCUUCCGCCCAAUGGCGCUACGUUUCCCUCGCCCGGCUCUGUGCCCGCUGCGCCCCCUCCCAGGCCCAGGGCAGGAUUUGUGCGCGACUCUCCGGUUUGACUUGGCUUCUCCCGCCUGCCCUGGGUAAGCCCAGAAGAGGCCUGGCAGGCCCUGGGCACAGGGCAGAGGAGCUGCCGCCCAUCUGUUGGGAUUGGAUCUGUGAGGUGCCUGCCACAGGCCAGCACUGA